rnacentral:rRNA from 1 species
CACGUAGGGCGCAAGCGUUGUCCGGAAUUAUUGGGCGUAAAGAGCUCGUAGGCGGUUUGUCGCGUCGGCUGUGAAAACCUGGGGCUCAACCCCGGGCCUGCAGCCGAUACGGGCAAACUAGAAUUCGGUAGGGGAGACUGGAAUUCCUGGUGUAGCGGUGAAAUGCGCAGAUAUCAGGAGGAACACCGGUGGCGAAGGCGGGUCUCUGGGCCGAUAUUGACGCUGAGGAGCGAAAGCGUGGGGAGCGAACAGG